rnacentral:rRNA from 1 species
ACCAACAGGAUUGCCUCAGUAACGGCGAGUGAAGCGGCAACAGCUCAAAUUUGAAAUCUGGCCGCAAGGUCCGAGUUGUAAUUUGCAGAGGAUGCUUUUGGCGAGGUGCCUUCCGAGUUCCCUGGAACGGGACGCCAUAGAGGGUGAGAGCCCCGUACGGUUGUGUCACCGAGCCUCUGUAAAGCUCCUUCGACGAGUCGAGUAGUUUGGGAAUGCUGCUCUAAAUGGGAGGUGUACGUCUUCUAAAGCUAAAUACCGGCCAGAGACCGAUAGCGCACAAGUAGAGUGAUCGAAAGAUGAAAAGCACUUUGAAAAGAGGGUUAAAAAGUACGUGAAAUUGUUGAAAGGGAAGCAUUCAUGACCAGACCUGGGCUUGGUUGAACAGCCGGCGUUCUCGCCGGUGCACUCUGCCAGUCCAGGCCAGCAUCAGUUCGCCCCGGGGGACAAAGGCGGUGGGAAUGUAGCUCCCUCGGGGAGUGUUAUAGCCCGCCGUGCAAUGCCCU